UUUGACCAAUCCCAAGGUUUGUAAGACCAUGGGUUUAAUAAUAAUUAGGCAAAGACUCAGCUUAUGCAAAAGGUUAGCACAGUUCAUUCACAAGAACGUUCUAAAAUCCAAAAUGCAGUCUUUAUAACACACACAAACAAGUUCAAAUCUUAAACUACGCCUUGCUCAGACAGUCAGUGUUUUUCCACUACACAGAUACAUUGUUUCUUUAAUCUGCAACAUGUUUCAUAAUGUUUCUGCUAGCCUAACAGUUUCUCCCCUCCACGGGUAGAGACAGAAUGUCCUUUAAGGAACACAGUAGUACAACUUGUCUGUCGAUAGUCAUUUGUUUCCCACUUGCACCCUGCUUACAUAUUAAAAAGGAUCAAAAGGUCCUUGUUCUAAUUCUGACUAAAACUACACACAUCGUCAGAUUAUAGUUUUAUGAUUCUAAUAAAUUUCAUACAAUUAUAUGGUUUCAGGGUGAAAUAUUUUAAACAUUACCAUUAAGCAUAUAAUUCCCUUAUCAAUCCACCCUUAAUGACUAAAUAAUACACACUGAUACAUCCACCGUCAUAUGGAAUCAAAAAUGUUACAUAAAAUCAAACAAAACCAAUUCAUGUAUUUACAUCAGAUACUUAUCAUCGACUGCUCUAGGCCUAUAUCCAAUUAUAACCCUUCUUUUUGUGAUUUUUAUUACAAUCUUCAUUAAAGGAACAGUCUGUCGAAACAUUGAAGAUAGUCUCAUCUAACAAUGGCUCCUUAUGGUUAAAAGAAACGGAGCCAUCUCCUAGGCCUGGAGGCCUGUAUUCGUCAUCCCACUGGUUGGAGCUCGGAAUCGGUCCAUAUCUCACCAUCUGUUGGUCAUCGAUCUCUCUAGAGUUCUGGUGAUCAAACCUCUCACACAUGGGACCAAACAGCAUCCACACAACACCAACACACUCAUACAUGUGAAAGCAGCCCAAAAUACAGUACUUACAAUAUUUUUCCAUUUCCCAAACAUGCUAUCGAACCACCCUGUCAGGGAAGUAUCCACCCCAGAGUUCUCUGCUAACUCAUGAGCUAAUGUGGUCAAACCUGCCAGGGCCUUGGUCACUGAUCCGUCUGGAGCUGUUUUAUUAAAAAGUAUAUAAACGUACAGCAAUGAACCCCAAUCAUUCUACAUACCCCGCCCUUUUCUGCCAAUAACAUAUCGAGUCAGUCUAUUUUACCAGGUCAUGAGGGAGGUGGCGGAUAAUUGGUCAGAGAACCCCUUUACUACAUCCCCAGAAUCAUUCACAAAUCUCUGUUGAUUAUAAUAGAUCACUAUUAUAGUCACUAAUCCAAUCCACAUUUUUAUUUAUUGUCAACCACCAAAAUAAUGUAGUGGUAAAGCCUUCACCUAUUUGAUUCAUAGGUUUGUGUUCAUCUGGAACUUCCCUGGGGAUGCCAAUAGCAUCCAUCUAGACAAAGCUACUCCCAUCCUGGUCAAAACUCCUCCUGUGCCUACUUUAUAGCCUCCUAAUACUGGCCUCUGAUGACUAAGCCGAACUGGUUGGACCAAUAACCCCGGGGCGCAAGUUCCUAACCACCCUUUUUGGUAGUUUCUGUCGUAUGCGUCCUUUGCUGGUACGAGCCCACCCUACAUCAGGUAUAGCUGCUGUGAGGUUAAGAAUAGUCUCCUGUACUUCCAAACCUAAGUCAGUCACAUCAACGAUUACCUUUCAGCCAUUAAAAUCAUCUAAGUUCUCGGUGCCAUUCUUGUAUCUAUAACACUGGUACUCAUCAGGAGUUAAAGUGAACCGAGGUGGGUUGGCCAAGUACUUCAAUCUGGCCAACCCAAUCCCUGUGAAGUUAUUUCCUAGGGAAUUGUUUACCUUAAAUCUUACAUCUUGAUCUUCUUUGACUCCUUAUUCUGUAAGUCACUCAUCAGUGUAUUAUAUAGUUUAUCUUUUACUUCUUAUCAAUGACAGCGGCAUCAUAUAAUUAGUACCGGAAGGUGGUGGAUCUGGAUGUAUCAGAAAGAUUACCAAGACGAUAAUGCAGCUCAGAGUCCCUACUCUUCCCAAAAACCGCCAACCCCCUCCUGCCCUUAGUCGGUCUACUAGGUACCACCCCAUACUCCCACCUCUAGGAGCACACACAGUGAUGAACGGUCGGGAUAGGGAAUCUUUGUUAAGGAGGUAACCCCUGGACCCUGUUGGUACUCGGUUCCUCUCCUAACUCUGUGUGUGAGCAGCAGUGCUUGUAUGUGUACAUACCCUUUUGCAGUGGGUAACGUGGACCCAAGUGACUUCCUCAGCUAUUCUAAUGGCAAAGGCGGUGGUUUAACAGAACCUGGUAUAGGCCUUCCCAAAGGGGCUGCUUCCAGUCUUUUCUCCUCAGGGACUGGAUCCACACCCAGUCUCCUGGUUGGAUUGAGUAAAUCACCUUCUCCUGUAAUUCACCUGUUGGACACAACAUCUUGGCCAUACGGUUUGGUUAACAAACAGUCUUCUCAUGUGUUCUGCUAGUAUAUCUUCAACUUCUAUGUCUACCUGUUCUUGUCCCUAACUCUGGCAUUCUAUUUGUUCUACCUGAUUAUCUAAAAUGUCAUCCAUUAUUUACAGAAAUAGAAUCUAGUAAACCAACUCUAGGGAUAAUAUCUUGACCUAAUAUUUUAGCUACCAUAAUCGUGUCCGCCAAGUAAGUUGGGAACGCUUCUACACAUUUAAUAUACUUAUCUAUUAUUGUUAAACACACCUUCUUUCCCUCACUUCCGAAUAGUUCAAUGAAGUCCAUUUCUAAAUGAUGGAGUUGAUAUUCUACCAAUUUUUAAAAAAAGUAGUUAUUCUCUAGGCCAUUAAGUGUUUCCUAACCUGCUCUACCAUCCUUCCUCCCUGUUGGCACAUGGCUCUGCCCAUGUGUCAAUAUUUCUGCAUAUCUAAACAAUGACUUAGUUAAGAUUAGUAAAUUAUUCUUAUGUCUGACAUUAUCUUGUAGGAUCGCCCCAAUUCAUUUUCCACAUGUCCAAUUUUUCCUGGGGCGUUCGUUCUUGGCUAUCCUGUAACAAUUCUCUGUCAAGUGUCUUAUCUUCUUUAAGAUUUAUCUGUGCUGCUUUGUAUGGUUUUAAAUGCAUGUGUGGUGUCUAUGUAAAUAGUAACCUUUCUCUCCUUUCUUUUUUCGCAGGCUCUAGUCAAUGCUACUUUUUCGGCCUGCUGUGCAGAAUCAUUUCUGGACAAUGGUUCAGUGUCUAACACCUUAGUUCCUGAAACCAACUAAGCUUUCAUUCCCCUUUUAGUUAGGGUAACUACUUUCAACAUAAUCAUAUCUCUUCCUAGUGAAUUUACUAACCAUCCACUUAAAAUAAAAACCAAAAUACCUGCCUCCCCUCCUAACUUUUCAUAUUUUUAAAACCGAUGGAGCUAACAGUCUCUCCAUGAAUUAAUAUCCUAAAGCUAAGCAAACCAAAUUCUCUUCCCCUGUAACGGUUGUCUUCCUCCUAGUAGGAAGGAUCAGAGUAGGAAGGAUCGGAGGACCAAUGCGCAGUGUGGUAAGUGUCCGUCUUUUUAAUUUAAGUAAAUGAACACUGAACAAAAACAACAAUGUAAACGAACGAAGAAGUUCUGUCUGGUGCAGAUACAAACACUCAACAGAAAACAAUCACCCACACCACACAGGUGGGAAAAGGCUGCCUAAGUAUGAUUCUCAAACAGAGACAACUAACGACACCUGCCUCUGAUUGAGAACCAUACCAGGCCAAACACAAAAACACCACAUAGAAAAAGGAACAUAGACAACGGAGAAGCCAACCCCCGCACUCACGCACGGACCAUACUAAAACAAAGACAUAACAAAAGAACUAAGGUCAGAACGUGAAUCCCCUUUUAUUCUUAUUCUGUCUUUUCUGUCAGUCACGGUAUUAUUUCUGUCCCCCAUUUUCCCCAGAGCCUUACACUCUGCCAUCUAAUCCUGUUUAUAAUUUAACUAUGCUGGUCUCCACUCAGUAACUGUUAUAUACCCAUUCUGUAUCACUUCUACCUUCUCUCCUCAUGCUACUCCCAAACCAUCAAGGUCUCAGCAGUGCGGGGGAGGGCUUCUCCGUCUGCCCUUCUAUCCUCUCUCCUCCUGCUACUCCCAAACCAUCAAGGUCUCAGCAGUGCGGGGGAGGGCUUCUCCGUCUGCCCUUCUAUCCUCUCUCCUCCUGCUACUCCCAAACCAUCAAGGUCUCAGCAGUGCGGGGGAGGGCUUCUCCGUCUGCCCUUCUAUCCUCUCUCCUCCUGCUACUCCCAAACCAUCAAGGUCUCAGCAGUGCGGGGGAGGGCUUCUCCAUCUGCCCUUCCUUCUAUCUUCUCUCCUCCUGCUACUCCCAAACCAUCAAGGUCUCAGCAGUGCGGGGGAGGGCUUCUCCAUCUGCCCUUCCUUCUAUCUGUCUGUCGCUCUUUCUUAUAACAGUCAGUAUCAAAUAUAGGUUCUGUUUCCGAAUAUUGACUAAAUGUCUCACUGUCUCCCUGUCUGCACUAAUGGAUUUUUAGAAAAAUCAACAUGUCUAUGGUAGUAAUCCCUAAGAUUAUUACCUAGUUGAUAAAGUUUAUCUCGAUGCUCUCAAUGAUCCUGAAUCCCCACAGAUGUCAUAUAUCCCUGUCCUGUUGGCUUAGAAUAUGUCCUAAAUACUUAACAUAGAGUCUACCAUUAUUAAAACGUAUUCUUGCUAACUUUAUAACCUUAUUCAACAACAACCUAUAAUAAUACUAUUAUAUCAUUUUCACAGACUUGUUGUGUAAAAU
ensembl:lncRNA